rnacentral:rRNA from 1 species
GAUGAACGCUGGCGGCGUGCCUAACACAUGCAAGUCGAGCGUGAAGGUUCGGAUUGAUCCUUCGGGAGAGAGAAGAACUGGAAAGCGGCGGACGGGUGAGUAACGCGUGGGCAACCUGCCCCAUACAGCCGGAUAGCCACUGGAAACGGUGAUUAAUACGGCAUAAGACCACGAUACCGCAUGGUAACGGGGUCAAAGAUUUAUCGGUAUGGGGAUGGGGCCCGCGUCUGAUUAGCUAGUUGGUGAGGUAACGGCUCACCAAGGCGACGAUCAGUAACCGGCCUGAGAGGGCGAACGGUCACACUGGAACUGAGACACGGUCCAGACUCCUACGGGUGGCAG